rnacentral:lncRNA from 1 species
UACAAUUAAUACAGGUUAUAUAUGAACUAUAAGGUAUGCUGAACCAGAAGAAUACUGACAAUAUACUGUACAAUAAGCCUUACCAGUUAGUGCUGUGGACCAUUUAUACCAAAAGGAAAAUGCACAUCUGUACAGUCACCUUUACCAGCUGGUGCUGACAGAGAGGGAGAGGCUUCUUCCCCAAUGCAACCCUUGAUAAGCCUCCACUGUGAGCGUUUGGUCCAAAAAUCGAGAGGACAAUGUGUAUUUAAAAUUAGUUAUUGGUAAAGUGGUAGAACAUCACACUUUCGACACGAUACUCUCUCAAAAAAGUAUCAGUCCCAGUUUUAAAAGACCACAAGUUCUUUGUCCACUAUGAAAACCCUACAGGCUCAGGGGGUUUGGGAGAUGAGAAGAUGAAGGCUGCCAAAAAAGGAGGCAAGAAACCAAGCCAAAAUCUAGGUCUUGCAAAAUCAUCAUUUUUCCCUUCACCAAAGGGAACUAGAAAUGUACAAAUUCAUUGAUGAACCUCAAUGAUAGCAUUAUCAGUUAGCUGAUAACCCUCAUUUUAUCUGGACCCCUGACUUGUGGGAAUAACUGAAAUACACUGUGGAUAACAGACAGAUACCACUUUUAGAAAAGAACCUCUUACUUAAUUAACAUAUUCCCUUUAGCCACCACAGCUGGUCCUGGGCUAUUACAGGUGUGCAUUCAUCGCUCAAUGGUCUACUCAGAAAUGAUAAGGUUACAGCUUUUUUUCUUUUCUUUUUUUUUUAAGUAAAAAAGCAAUUGACUGAAGCAUUUUCUUUUUUUAGGUAAAUAGCAAAAAUAAAAAUAAAAACCAACCCUGGCAUUUGCACAAAUAAUGCAAAUGGAGUGAUAUGGCCUUUAAGGAAGGGGUUAGUAGAAAGGAAGAGGGAAGUGAAGAAAAUCCAGAGAAAAUGAUGUACUAAUUUAUUUCUUUUAAAAAAUUUCUACAUGUGCAAAAAAAUCAUGCUGUUUGAGGAAAACAAAGGGAAAUGAGUACAUAAAACUAAAAACAUAAAUAUGUUUGGGUGACUGGUAAAAGUAGAAACCAACCUGGGUUACAAAAAGGAUUAUACAUUCAAGAUGCUCUUAAACCCAGUGGGAUAACUUAUGUUAAAACUGUGUUAAUAGUUACGUUAAAAAUCUCAAGUUUGUUCUUAAAUCUUCACAAUACAAGCAAAGCUGUUUUAAAAUAUACACUAUACAUAUUUCUCAUAGUCUCUUCAACCUCAUUAAUGCGCAUUAGGCUUUUUCAUAUACUAAAACAAGGGGGUUCUGAAAGCUAAAUUGCUCAUAGUAACCCAUCCAUUAUUUAAAUGGUU